GCAUGCCCAGGGCCCCGUACAGUGGGAGCUGGAGUUCAGUUGUGUGGUUCUAGAGCUUGUGCUCGGCCUAGUGACAGGAGCUCUGGAGUCUGGGAGCACAAAGAGGGGCACAGGGCCACCAAGUGGGUCUUGGAUCUGCCCUCCAGGUGUGGGCCCAUCGCUGGAUGGAUCUGUCAGAACACGGCUUUGGGCUGGCCCUGCUCAACGACUGCAAGUAUGGCGCGUCAGUGCGAGGCAGCAUCCUCAGCCUCUCGCUGUAAGUGGGGUACCCACCAGGCCUGGGAGCUGGCAUGGAGAAAUGGGUCUUCCCGACCACAACUCCAACAGCUUCAGCGUGGCCCCUACGCGCCCUCCUCACCCCAGCUUGCGGGCGCCUAAAGCCCCGGACGCUACUGCUGACACGGGGCGCCACGAGUUCACCUAUGCACUGAUGCCGCACAAGGGUGAGUGCUGGGGACGGUGGGGCCUUCCUGCAGCCCUAGACACCUCUCUGCCCUUCCCUGAGCCCAAACCCCAGCAACCUGGCUUCCUGCCCCUUCUAGGGACAGGGGAGGGUAGCCCCCAUUCUCCACCAGCAUUGUUUCCUGGUCGUACCCCAGGCUCUUUCCAGGAUGCUGGCGUUAUCCAAGCUGCCUACAGCCUAAACUUCCCCCUGUUGGCUCUGCCAGCCCCCAGCCCAGCGCCCGCCACCUCCUGGAGUGCGUUUUCCGUGUCUUCACCCGCGGUCGUAUUGGAGACCGUCAAGCAGGCGGAGAGCAGCCCCCAGCGCCGCUCGCUGGUCCUGAGGCUGUAUGAGGCCCACGGCAGCCACGUGGACUGCUGGCUGCACUUGUCGCUGCCGGUUCAGG
rnacentral:lncRNA from 1 species